rnacentral:rRNA from 1 species
UACGUAGGGACCGAGCGUUGUCCGGAAUCAUUGGGCGUAAAGAGCGUGUAGGCGGCCUGUUAAGUCUUGCGUGAAAUCUCGAGGCUCAACCUCGAGACGUCGGCGGAAACCAUCUGGCUAGAGUCCGGAAGAGGAGAGUGGAAUUCCUGGUGUAGCGGUGAAAUGCGUAGAUAUUGGGAGGAACACCAGUGGCGAAGGCGGCUCACUGGACCGGUACUGACGCUGAAGCGCGAAAGCGUGGGGAGCAAACGGG